UAAGGAAUAUUGGUCAAUGGACGCAAGUCUGAACCAGCCAUGCCGCGUGGAGGAUGAAGGUCCUCUGGAUUGUAAACUUCUUUUAUUUGGGAAGAAACCCACCUUUUCUUGGGUGGUUGACGGUACCAGAUGAAUAAGCACCGGCUAACUCCGUGCCAGCAGCCGCGGUAAUACGGAGGGUGCAAGCGUUAUCCGGAUUCACUGGGUUUAAAGGGUGCGUAGGUGGGCAGGUAAGUCAGUGGUGAAAUCUCCGGGCUUAACCCGGAAACUGCCAUUGAUACUAUCUGUCUUGAAUACCCUGGAGGUGAGCGGAAUAUGUCAUGUAGCGGUGAAAUGCUUAGAUAUGACAUAGAACACCCAUUGCGAAGGCAGCUUACUACACGAUCAUUGACACUGAGGCACGAAAGCGUGGGGAGCAAA
rnacentral:rRNA from 1 species